AUUGAACGCUGGCGGCAUGCCUUACACAUGCAAGUCGAACGGCAGCACGGGAGCAAUCCUGGUGGCGAGUGGCGAACGGGUGAGUAAAGUAUCGGAACGUGCCCAGUCGUGGGGGAUAACGUAGCGAAAGUUACGCUAAUACCGCAUACGAUCUAUGGAUGAAAGCGGGGGAUCGCAAGACCUCGCGCGAUUGGAGCGGCCGAUAUCAGAUUAGGUAGUUGGUGGGGUAAAGGCUCACCAAGCCGACGAUCUGUAGCUGGUCUGAGAGGACGACCAGCCACACUGGGACUGAGACACGGCCCAGACUCCUACGGAAGGCAGCAGUGUGGAAUUUUGGACAAUGGGCGCAAGCCUGAUCCAGCCAUGCCGCGUGCAGGAUGAAGGCCUUCGGGUUGUAAACUGCUUUUGUACGGAACGAAAAGGUUUGGCCUAAUAAGCUGAGCUCAUGACGGUACCGUAAGAAUAAGCACCGGCUAACUACGUGCCAGCCGCCGCCGUAA
rnacentral:rRNA from 1 species